AACACCUGCAUGAGUUCGAAAUUUGCAUCAGCACUUCAACCGAAGGGCAACAAGAAGCAUCGAACUGGCAGUAAGUACUGAAUGAAGCAAAAACUGCAUUCUGACUACGAUCUCAGCGAGAAAAGGCUACCAGUGACGAUGGAGAGUGGUUUAGUUUCACUGCAGUUCAACGACGAAUACCUUCAUCAGUGAAAAAGGCCUUGUCCCAGGCUAGAGACUUCCGCAGUGUUGUUGAGCGUCUGCUCCUACUUUUACGAAGAACAGUAGGGUUUCUGACAGGUGAAGUUUCGCAAAUCCCGUCGAGUUGCAUGGACUCUGCAGAACACCCCCCACUUAUCAACAAUAGUGCAGCAAGGCAUUUGGCAUCACUCUUCAACAGGGCUCAGCUACGUAUUGGGGUGUGAAGCUAAGUAACAUAGCCCCAGCUGGCUAUCGAUGCGGUAGCAGAAUGAGAGUUCAGUCUCAACGUAGGGGCCAGUAACUUCGAGAGAGAAGUCCUACGCACUAUUGCCCAAGUUCUACUUACGAAAGGAUCACACAGAGGUUGUGAACAGCAAAGGAGAAAAAUCGGUAGAACUACCAGAGCACUUCAAUAUAGCCUCAUAUUCUGGUUUCUAAACAAAGCACUUGCUAUACCACGUUCUAAGCUCAAGAUUAAAGGCGGCCCCUAUCCAAAUUCCGGACAGCGCACCUUUAAUUCCAA